rnacentral:rRNA from 1 species
UACGAAGGGGGCUAGCGUUGUUCGGAAUUACUGGGCGUAAAGGGCGCGUAGGCGGCUUCGCUAGUCGGGCGUGAAAUGCCUGGGCUUAACCCGGGAAUUGCGUUCGAUACUUCGAGGCUAGAGUGUGGGAGAGGUUGGUGGAAUUCCCAGUGUAGAGGUGAAAUUCGUAGAUAUUGGGAAGAACACCGGUGGCGAAGGCGGUUCUCUGGGCAUUACCUGACGCUGAGGAGCGAAAGUGUGGGGAGCGAACAGG